rnacentral:lncRNA from 10 species
ACACCUGGAGCCGGGCUGCGACGGCUCUGGGGCUCUAACCAGCCCCGCGCCCCAGAGGCUUCUUCUCGGUGGCGUGGUCUCGUUCGUGUGGAGGACGGGUGAAAGAAAGUCGCAGGGAUGAGAGGGAGCAAGGGAGGGACGUCGCAGACCUCGGACAUUGUGUCGCCCCCGACCCCUGAACGGUCCAUGACUUCCCAGUGUGGGUCAGAGGCUCUGGACCAGCCCCUCACACUGCAUGCCCGGUGUUCCGUUUGCAACUAUUAUUAGGUUAAUUUCUCUCAGCAAUUAGGCUGUGAGCUGCGGAAGGGCAGCCCUGUAAGGUUGCCGAAGGGGUUUCACCUUGCCCUCUGCCUGGACACAGCCGAUUUAUCAAGACGGCAAUUGCAAUAGAGAAAGGGUAAUUCACGCGCGGAGCGGGCUGUGCGGGAGACCAGAGUUGUAUUAUUACUCAAAUCAGUCUCCCAGAAAACUCGGGGAUCAGAGGGGUUUGUUUUUGUUUUUGUUUUUGAGACGGAGUCUCGCUCUGUUGCCCAGGCUGGAGUGCAGUGGCGCGAUCUCCAGUUAUUUUUACACUGUUACCUGCUAGGACUGGUAUAUAUGUUUUCUUCUUUUGGUUUUGUUUUUGGUUGUCGUUGCUUUUUUAUUUUUAAGAGUGAAGUUGGAACACUUGUUUGAAUUUAAAAACACCCCUGCGCCGGGCGUGUGGCUCACGCCUGUAAUCCCAGCACUUUGGGAGGCCGAGGCGGGCGGAUCUCGAGGUCAGGAGAUCGAGGCCAUCCUGGCUCACACGAUGAAACCCCGUCUCUACUAAAAAUACAAAAAAUUAGCCAGGCGUGGUAGCGGGCGCCUGUAGUCCCAGCUACUCGGGAGGCUGAGGCAGGAGAAUGGCGUGAACCUGGGAGGCGGAGGUUACAGUGAGCCGAGAUUGUGCCACUGCACUCCAGCCUGGGCGACAGAGCAAGACUCCGUCUCAAAAAAACAAAAAACAAAACAAAACAAAACACCCCUGCUCACCACUUUAGCUAGUUAAGCUUAAUUUUACUAAUAAAAACUAAUCUGACAUCACCACCUAUGAAAUAUUCUUGCCAAAAAUGUUUAAUUCACAGUCAAGCCUUCAGACCUAACUUCAGUUUACAGGAAAUAAGAUAAAGGAACAAAUUAAUAGACACUAUGAUGAAGCAAUGAGAUAAAUCCAGAAUGUGAGAUAAUCUGCAAGACCCCUAAUUUGAUCUUUUCAAAAAAUCAGUGUCUGGUCAGGAGGAGUGGCUCAUGCCUGUAAACCAAAUACUUCGGGAGGGCAAGGUGGGAGGAUCACUUGAGUCCAGGAGUUCCAGACCAGCCUGGGCAACACAGUGAGACCCUGUCUUUACAAAAAAUUAAAGAAUUUGCUGGACAUGGUGGUGCACGCCUGUAGUCCCAGCUACUGUGGAGGCUGAGGUGGGAGGAUCAAUUGAGUCCAGAAAGUUGAGGCUGCAGUGAGCUAUGAUUGUGCCACUGUAUUCCAUCCGGGGUAACACAGCAAGACCCUGUCUGAAAAAAAAAAAAAAAGAUCAUUUGUAAAAAAAAGAGGGAGACUGUUCUGGAUUUAAAGAGACAGUCAAAUACAAUGUGUGAAGACUGACUAAAUCCUGGCUUGAAAAAAAAAUCUAUAAAACAUUCUGGGGGCAAUUAGGGGACAGUCUGAAUAUGUAUUAAACAUUAAGUAAUAGAAAUGAUAAUGGCAUUAUACAAUGAAGUAUUUAGGGGUAAAAUACUAUUCUGUCUGCAAUUUCAUUUCAAAUGUUUGGUAAAAAAGAUUAUACAGGGCCGGGUGACGUGGCUCACGCCUAUAAUCCCAGCACUUUGGGAGGCUGAGGCGGGCGGAUCAUGAGGUCAGGAGUUUGAGACCAGCCUGGCCAACAUAGUAAAACCCUGUCUCUACUAAAAAUACAAAAAAUUAGCCCGGCAUGGUAGUGCAUGCCUGUAAUCCCAGCUACUCGGGAGGCUCAAGGAUAAUUACUUGAACCCAGGAGGCGAAGGUUGCAGUGAUUGUGCCACUGCACUCCAUCCAGCCUGGGCAAUAGAGCAAGAC